CCUGUUAUUACAGGACAAGACAUAACUGUAAAUCAAACCCAAAGCACAUCAAUCCCUACCUCAAUGGAGUCUCAAACCACUGAAUCAUUGCCGACCCCCUCCACUAAACAUAUAACAUCCUACCCUGUUAUUACAGGACAAGACAUUACUGUAAAUCAAACCCAAAGCACAUCAAUCCCUACCUCAAUGGAGUCUCAAACAACUGAAGACACCAGUCCAACCACCAACAAAUUGUCAUCUUCAGGAAUGUCACAAUCCACUUCGGAGAUGUCUUCAAUUGAGAUGUCUACUAAAGAACAUGGUUCCACAAGCCAUCCUUCAAUGUAUAGUACAGCUGUGGUCUCAACUGCAGAAUAUCAUAUUUCUACACCAUUCACAACUACAAACUCCCCCAAGACAACUGAAUCAUUGAAGUCACCCUCCACUACACAUAUAACAUCCUACCCUGUUAUUACAGGACAAGACGUAACUGUAAAUCACACCCAAAGCACAUCAAUCCCUACCUCAAUGGAGUCUCAAACCACUGAAGACACCAGUCCAACCACCAACAAAUUGUCAACUUCAGAUACCACUUCCUCAUCUGGAUUUACCACACCUAUGACAAUGAUUCCAGGUUCGACCACAGAAAGGAGACCGUCAACGCAAAGCAAGACAGUGACCACAAUUGUGCAUACACAGGCAGACAGUCAGUCAACACCAGCCCACAGUUCAACCUCAAAUGUUACCCUUAUGACAUUCACAACAAUAUCUACAACUCAUCAGUGUAAUGAAGAGGACUGUCACUGUCAUGGUGCUCCUUGUUCUUUCAAUUACACUCUUGGCUUAUGUCAGUGCCAUUGCUCUGACUCCACCUUUGGAGAUUUGUGUAUUUAUGGAAGUAAUGUCAUCACAGUUUCCUUUGAUAAGGCAGUACCAACCAGAAAGGCAUAUGUCUCUUUGAGGAUUAUCAGGGAAUUUGAGACUGAGUAUGAAAAUAUGAACUCCAGCAAGUCCCAAAUAUUAAUCAAAACUUUGAUUAAGGAGCUUAGUGCUCUCUGCAGGAGAGCAGAUCCACACAAUUUUAAAGAUGUAAAAGUCAUUAAUCUAAAACCUGGAAGUAUUGUUGCAGAGAGCAUAGCGGAAUACACCUAUCCCAACAAUGCAUCUCAAAUUGAUUUCCUCAACAAUGAACUGGAACCCAUACUUAGGAAUAUCUUGAACAACACAGAUAACCUAAUGAUCAUCAGUCAAGCAUUUGAAAAUGUGCGAAUCCAGGUUACCAAUAUUACCUUCCAACCAAUGGAAAUAAGGAAUAUUGCAGAUUUGAGGUCAUUUGUGGCCUGUCGUCUGGGUUUUGCCAACUACACAGAAGAGCUCUCUGAUGGCAGCUGGAAGUGUGUGGGGCCUUGUAAACAGUAUCCAGACUACUGUCAUAGACACGGAGAAUGCUUUAAUAAUGUUCAAAGUGGACCUAUUUGUCUGUGCUAUGAGUCUUCCCUGGAGCAGUAUGAUGGACCCCAGUGUGAGCGCUUCCGCAGGGGAAGAGGUUUCUAUGCUGCACUCUUUGGUGCGCUGGGGGCAGGCAUCCUCCUCAUACUUGUUCUCAUCGUGGUUAUCGUGGUCCUGCGAAGGAACCGUGGGGGACGAUGGAACAUUGACAAGCCACCUGCCAGAAGACUGAUGUCUCUCAAAGAGGACUUUUUUGACUUCACACAAAGAGACCUCGGUCCAUACCAUGGCAGUUCACCAGUCUACACAAAUACUGAUUUAGUUCACGAAGGCUGCCCAGGAGUAUUCUGCCUGCAUCUUGACAAUGUUGACACAACAUAAAAUGUACAUUUACAGGCAUUAUACUGUAAUUUCUGUUGUUUCAUGUCUUUCAUAUUUGUCAUAUCUUACAAUCUUUGCUAUGAAUGAAAAAUUACAUCCAGUAAUGAGUGGCAGUAAAUAUAAAAUAUAGUAUCUACACUAAAACAUCACACCUUUCUAUAUACUAUAAUAACAAGUAUUUACAUGUAAUUACUUACACAGUCUAGAGCACCAGCUGUUUAUGAUUCUCUAUUUUAAUGAAUACUAAUGUUGACAUUUUAAGUGAUAUGAUUAUCCAAAAUGUUUUCUCAGGUGAAGACCCAAUGGCCAACAAUAAUAGAUUUUCUUCAAAAUAACACAGAAUAAAAUAUUCAAGCUGCCUAAAACGUUUAACCACAAAUAAUUAUUCUUUAUAACAUGCAUAAUCAUUGUGAAUCAAAUUCAUUUUGUACUGCAGCUGUUUUACUGGAAUUCAGAAGCAUAAGGCUACACACUACUGUCCUUUGAGGACUUGAUAAAUAGAAUGAGAUCUAGAUGAACAAUUUCCUGACAUUGAAGAUGACCCUGUAUGAGUAUUAGAUGUGUACGUUACAUCUGUUGACUAAGUGUAAUAUGUCACUUCUGGGCUUUGGGUUCACAUAUAUAUUUUUAAUUUGACAAAUAUUUAAAUAAACGGUG
ensembl:lncRNA